rnacentral:rRNA from 1 species
GUGGGGAAUAUUGGACAAUGGGCGAAAGCCUGAUCCAGCCAUGCCGCGUGUGUGAAGAAGGCCUUUUGGUUGUAAAGCACUUUAAGCGAGGAGGAGGCUCCUUUAGUUAAUACCUAAAGAGAGUGGACGUUACUCGCAGAAUAAGCACCGGCUAACUCUGUGCCAGCAGCCGCGGUCAUACAGAGGGUGCGAGCGUUAAUCGGAUUUACUGGGCGUACAGCGUGCGUAGGCGGCUUUUUAAGUCGGAUGUGAAAUCCCUGAGCUUAACUUAGGAAUUGCAUUCGAUACUGGAAAGCUAGAGUAUGGGAGAGGAUGGUAGAAUUCCAGGUGUAGCGGUGAAAUGCGUAGAGAUCUGGAGGAAUACCGAUGGCGAAGGCAGCCAUCUGGCCUAAUACUGACGCUGAGGUACGAAAGCAUGGGGAGCAAACAGGAUUAGAUACCCGAGUAGUCC